UACGUUGAAAAGUGCGGGGAUGAGGUGUGGGUAGCGGAGAAAUUCCAAACGAACUUGGAGAUAGCUGGUUCUCUCCGAAAUAGCUUUAGGGCUAGCCUCAGAGUAAGAAUGAUGGAGGUAGAGCACUGUUUGGACUAGGGGCCCAUCUCGGGUUACCGAAUUCAGAUAAACUCCGAAUGCCAUUCAUUCAUCUCUGGGAGUCAGACUGUGAGUGAUAAGAUCCAUAGUCGAAAGGGAAACAGCCCAGACCACCAGCUAAGGUCCCAAAAUAACUAUUAAGUGGAAAAGGAUGUGGGGUUGCACAGACAACUAGGAUGUUGGCUCAGAAGCAGCCACCAUUUAAAGAGUGCGUAAUAGCUCACUAGUCGAGUGACCCUGCGCCGAAAAUGUACCGGGGCUAAAUAGUUUACCGAAGCUGUGGAACAUACCAUUAGGUAUGUUGGUAGGAGAGCGUUCUAAGGGCGUUGAAGGUAGAUCGUGAGGACUGCUGGAGCGCUUAGAAGUGAGAAUGCCGGUAUGAGUAGCGAAAGACAGGUGAGAAUCCUGUCCACCGAAUGACUAAGGUUUCCUGGGGAAGGCUCGUCCGCCCAGGGUUAGUCGGGACCUAAGCCGAGGCCGAAAGGCGUAGGCGAUGGAUAACAGGUUGAUAUUCCUGUACCCGUUGUUUUUGUUUGAGCAAUGGAGGGACGCAGGAGGCUAAGGAAUCAGACGAUUGGAAAUGUCUGUCCAAGCAAUGAGUCUUGAGGCGAGUCAAAUGCUUGCUUCUCUAAGGACAAGUUGUGAUGGGGAGGGAAAUAAUAGUACCGAAGUUCCUGAUGUCACACUGCCGAGAAAAGCUUCUAGUGAGAAAACAAUGGCCCGUACCGCAAACCGACACAGGUAGUCGAGGAGAGAAUCCUAAGGUGAGCGAGAGAACUCUCGUUAAGGAACUCGGCAAAAUGACCCCGUAACUUCGGGAGAAGGGGUGCUGAUCUAACGAUCAGCCGCAGUGAAUAGGCCCAAGCGACUGUUUAUCAAAAACACAGGUCUCUGCAAAAUCGAAAGAUGACGUAUAGGGGCUGACGCCUGCCCGGUGCUGGAAGGUUAAGAGGAGUGCUUAGCGUAAGCGAAGGUACGAAUUGAAGCCCCAGUAAACGGCGGCCGUAACUAUAACGGUCCUAAGGUAGCGAAAUUCCUUGUCGGGUAAGUUCCGACCCGCACGAAAGGCGUAACGA
rnacentral:rRNA from 1 species